rnacentral:rRNA from 1 species
UACGUAGGGAGCAAGCGUUGUCCGGAAUCAUUGGGCGUAAAGCGCGCGUAGGUGGCUUCGUAAGUCCGUUGUGAAAGUCAAAGGCUCAACCUUUGAAAGCCGAUGGAUACUGCGGAGCUAGAGUACGGAAGAGGCGAGUGGAAUUCCUGGUGUAGCGGUGGAAUGCGCAGAUAUCAGGAGGAACACCAGUGGCGAAAGCGGCUUCCUGGUCCGACACCGACGUUCAGGCACGAAAGCGUGGGGAGCAAACAGG